AAAUUUAAGUAAUUUCAAUUCAGUUUUAAUUUUGGAUUGGACUGAUUGGAUUCUAAAUGUUAUAUCAUAAAUCGACCAACAAAUGGCAUUGUUCUUGCUUUUGACAAAUCUUCUUUGACAGUACUUAUCAAUUGCGAGUGCCUGACGUUGAAUUUCACAGGAUAUUUUCUAUCUCAUUACGACUCAUACUUCUCAUAGUUUAACCAUUUAAACGUCAGAGGAAAAUUAUAUUUCAGUUAUU
rnacentral:misc_RNA from 1 species